rnacentral:rRNA from 1 species
GGACUGAGACACGGCCCACACACCUACGGGUGGCAGCAGUUGGGAAUCUUGCACAAUGGGGGAAACCCUGAUGCAGCGACGCCGCGUGGAGGAUGAAGGGUCUAGGCCUGUAAACUCCUUUUAUGGGGAAAGACUUAGGACGGUACCCCAUGAAUAAGGACCGGCUAACUACGUGCCAGCAGCCGCGGUAAGACGUAGGGUCCAAGCGUUAUCCGGAUUUACUGGGCGUAAAGCGCGCGUAGGCGGUCUGUUAAGUGCACAAGUGAAAGCUCCGGGCUCAACUCGGAAAUUGCUUUGCAUACUGGCAGGCUGGAGGGACGCAGAGGUCUGUGGAAUUCCUGGUGUAACGGUGAAAUGUGUUGAUAUCAGGAGGAACACCCAUGGCGAAGGCAGCAGACUGGGCGUUUCCUGACGCUGAGGCGCGAAAGCGUGGGUAGCAAACAGGAUUAGAUACCCUGGUAGUCCACGCCCUAAACGAUGGAUACUAGGCGUAGGAGGUAUCGACCCCUCCUGUGCCGCAGCAAACGCAUUAAGUAUCCCGCCUGGGGAGUACGGCCGCAAGGUUGAAACUCAAAUGAAUUGACGGGGACCCGCACAAGCGGUGGAGCAUGUGGAUUAAUUCGAUACUAACCGAAGAACCUUACCCACUCUUGACAUUGAAGGAAAGCUCUAGAGAUAGAGCCCUCUCUCACAAGGAGACCUGAAAACAGAUGUUGCAUGGCUGUCGUCAGCUCGUGCCGUGAGGUGUACGGUUAAGUCCGCCAACGAGCGCAACCCUCGUCCUGUGUUACCAGCGAGUAAUGUCGGGCACUCACAGGAGACCGCCGGUGUAAGCCGGAGGAAGGUGGGGAUGAUGUCAAGUCAGCAUGGCUCUUACGAGUGGGGCUUCACACAUGCUACAAUGGGCGCAACAAAGGGCAGCGAUACCGCGAGGUGGAGCAAAUCCCAAAAAUACGUCCUCAGUUCAGAUUGCAGUCUGCAACUCGACUGCAUGAAGGCGGAAUCGCUAGUAAACGCAGGUCAGCUAUACUGCGUUGAAUACGUUCCCGGGUCUUGUACACACCGCCCGUCAAGUCACUUGAAUUGUCUUCACCCGAAGUCCGUGGCCUAACCCGCAAGGGAAGGAGCGGCCGAAGGUGAGGGGGGUAAGAGGGACUAAGUCGUAACAAGGUACCCGUACCGGAAGGUGUGGGUG